AGGGCUAUAGGGGAGGUAGGAGGGAAAAAAAGUGUAGUAUCUGUUCUUAUCAGCAAAAUAUCUGAUACGUCCUGCAUCACACGAGCAGAAUAUUAAACUCAUUUUUGGCUUCUGACGGAGUGCUAGGGGCUUGCUCCACCUCUGUCGCGGGUUGGCCCGGCAUUGCAGUACCGCCGGGAUCGGCCCACCUAAA